rnacentral:rRNA from 1 species
AUUGAACGCUGGCGGCAUGCCUUACACAUGCAAGUCGAACGGUAACAGGUCUCCGGAUGCUGACGAGUGGCGAACGGGUGAGUAAUACAUCGGAACGUGCCUAGUAGUGGGGGAUAACUACUCGAAAGAGUGGCUAAUACCGCAUGAGAUCUACGGAUGAAAGCAGGGGAUCGCAAGACCUUGUGCUACUAGAGCGGCCGAUGGCAGAUUAGGUAGUUGGUGGGAUAAAAGCUUACCAAGCCGACGAUCUGUAGCUGGUCUGAGAGGACGAUCAGCCACACUGGGACUGAGACACGGCCCAGACUCCUACGGGAGGCAGCAGUGGGGAAUUUUGGACAAUGGGCGCAAGCCUGAUCCAGCAAUGCCGCGUGCAGGAUGAAGGCCUUCGGGUUGUAAACUGCUUUUGUACGGAACGAAAAGCCCCGGGUUAAUACCCUGGGGUCAUGACGGUACCGAAAGAAUAAGCACCGGCUAACUACGUGCCAGCCGCCGCGGUAA